UUGCUAGAACAAGUUUUAUUCCCACUCAUUCAUCUUAGAUGCAUUUUUAAAUUUGGUAUUAAUGUAAGUGAAGCUAUGCAUCUUCUUUCCUUCUCUCUUAGGUGAGCCUCCAAAGAUUUAUUUUUGUUGGAAAAACUAGCAUUCAGUUCUCAAGGCAUGAGCUGGUGUUCCAUUUGAUGAAAAUGAAGUGCCUGGUGGCAAUCUGGCCCAGCACACCCUGCUCCCACUGGAACAGGAUUUGGGGUUUCUUUUCCAGGACCUGUCUGAGCAACUCUGAGCUGAGCAAAAACUUCUCCAGCUUCAUGUGAUAUAAAAUCUGGCCAGAUCUGUGGGGAAAACCUACUUAUGUGGGAACCUUAGGUGAGGAGCUUUUUAAAAGGCAGAGUGCACUGAGUCAGUGCUGCUGUGGUAGAUGUUUUCGCCCAUAUCUGCUAUGUAAGAAGAGGGUAGAAAGGACCAGAGCAGGCUCUAGGUUUCACAAGGUUUCAUCUUGUUUCUACAGCAUACUGUCAUUUGUCUACCAAGAAAAAAUGCUGAUAGGCCAGAUAUUGCAAGCCCAUUUAUUAGUGAAUUGCUCUAAUUUCUGAGUGCCAAGCAAAGAUACCUCCCCACCAUACCCAGCGUCCAGCAGUGUUUCAGUAUCAAAACUGAGCAUGGACCUGGCUGAAACCUGUGCUACUCUCUGCUACUGAAUUUCUGUGGUCAGCAAAUACACAGCAAGUGGUGACAACGCUGAAUCAGUGGCAGCCCCUGGAUGAGGCACUGGAACAGGUUCCCCUGAGAAGCUGUGGAUGUCCCAUGCCUAGAAGUGUUCAAGGUCAGGUUGGAUGGUGCUUGGGACAACUUGGUUGAGUGGAAGGUGUCCCUGCCCACUGUGGGGGUUGGAAUGAGAUCAUCUUUAGGAGCCCUCCCAACUCAAACCAUUCUAGGAUUCUGUGACUCCCAUCCCUCCUCUAUCCCAUGGUAACAAAUGCUACAGACUAAUCCCUGUGUAAAUAACUCCAUAUUUCUGACCAGAGGUUUUGCUCUGAAGAAGGCACCCUGAGCACCGGAUCAGUGUGAUCCUUGGCACAUGGAACACUGCAUCCUCAGCUCACCUUAAAUGUCACGUUAUCUGUGUUUUAGACCUGUACCACAUGCCACACAGCUCUCGGCUCGUGGAAACUCCAGUGAGCUUCCUUAGACCCAACAUUAAAUUUGGCCCAGUGCUGCAAAGUCCAAGUCCCUGUCAGUUCCUGAUACUCUCUUGUCAUUGGGAGUUCCUGUAGAAAUUUAGUACCUGAAUAGCCCAAUAUUUGGGCUUAAAGCCCCUGACUUUUCUGCACAUAUUUAUACCUAGUAGCCAGUCUUUAGUCACCUAGUUCUCUCUUUGGUAAUGCAGCUCCCAUUAAUAGCAGGUGAAUCUCAGAUAAGACCCACUUACAUUAGAAGUCUGGAGAAAAAACAGUGUAAUGAAAAGAAACUGGCACUCACAGCAUGUGAUUCUUCUGUAUGAUCUACCACGGAUAAACUGUGUCUUAAGAGUGCCCAUUUGUCAGAGAAUUCUCCAAUUUUGGAAAUUAGGUAUCAUUACCAACAUCUGUUAUACCUUGCGACACUGAGCAGACCUCCAGUCUUUCAUAAUAUGUUCCCUAAUGCCAAUUAAAACUAAUGACUUGACAUUUUGAAAAGCCUUUUGACUCUUUAAUAUCUUUUUAACACCUGGCCUUUAAGGAAUCUUCUUUCAGACUGUAUCACUGAAAGCACCUUGUUCAGAGAAGCUCAUACUAAAAAGGAAUUAAAAACAUGCUAUGGUGUGGGGGUUUUUGUUCAAAUCCUUCUCAUAACUAGGCAGAACUGCUGAUCUGUAGAAAAAGGUGUGCUGAUUUUGAAUGGGAUAAGAGUUAAUUUAUUUCACAGACGCUGGUACAGGGCCGUGUUUUGGUUUUGUGCUGGAGACAUUGAUUACAUGGGGCUGUGUUUGUUACUGCUGAGCAGCUCUUACAUACCACUGAGGCCUUUUCUGCUCCUUACUCCACCUGCAAGUGGGCUGAGGUUGCACAAGAACCUGUGAGGCGACAGAGCCAGGACACUGACCCCAAGUGACCAGAGGCAUAUUCCAUAGCAUAUCGCAUCAUGCUCCGUAUAUAAAACAGCGGGGAGAAGAAGGAAGGGGGAGGACAUUCAGAGUGAUGUCCUUCACGGUGUUGGUGGAGGUCCACUCCUUGUUGGUGUUUACAAAAGACUGGAGCUGGUACUUAGAAGCAUGCUCCAACUGCCUUGGUGGUGUCUGCUCCAAGGCUGGACUCUGACCUCAGGUCUGUUCCAACCCAGCUGGUUCUGUGAUCUGUGAUUCCGUUUGUCUGACCGAGUCACUGUUAACAUGCCCUGCUCUCCUGGGGAUGGCUGAACACCUGCCUGGCCAUGGGAAGUGGUGAAUGAAUUCCUAGUGUUGCUUUGAUUGCAUGUGCAGCUUUUGUUUUACCUAUUAAACGGAAUUUUCUGAUUCUCUCCUCCACUUACAGGAGGAGGAGUGCAUGAGAGGCUGGGUGGGCCUGAUGGUUGAUGUUAAACCACAACAGGAUGUAGAUGAGAAAAUAAAGGAGAUGAGUAUCAGACACACUAGGGAUGUCUCCUGGAAACAGUAAGAUAAAGCAACAAUGAAAUGGAGAACAGCAAGACUGCAAGCUGUGGGAGCAGCAGGCACUGAGGUCUCUGGUUGGGUGGUUCGCUCAACCUUUCUUGCAACAAAAGAAUGAAGUGACUUAGGAGCAGUUUCUGCUUCACAAGAACUUGGCACCAUAUUUUACAGCAAACUUGCACAACACUGGCACCACAAAAAGGAAAGAUUUUACACUAGCUCCUGUGGAGCCUAGGGAGAGUUUUGUUACUUUUAUGCAGCAUGGACGAGUGAAAACCAGCAGCAAACAGCUAACAGCUCUUGCUGAAGAGCUUUUUCUGUCUCUUAUUCCAGAAUAAGCAAAGACAUCCUGCAAAUCCCAAGCAUCUGGUCUGCUGGAAGACAGGGUCUGCUGUGCUGACUUGCAAGGUAGGAUUAGCAGGAGGGGAGCUGGUUGUGGACAGCAUUUGAAUAGGUGGGUGUAGCCUGGGCAAAGGGCUGCAUGAGUAACAGGAUCUGCUGCCUACUCUGAUAUGAUUGUUCUUCUCAUCUUGCUGUAUUUUCCUCAACAUCUAUCCAAUUUCAAGUAGGAACUUGCUUCAAUUAUGCUUUGUACAAGGUUUCCAUAAAUGGUGUCUUAGCAUAUCAGUGAAACAUCAAUGAGCUGGAAAAACAAGCUGGUUCAUUACCAUGCAAAUAAGCUCACUCUUCAUGAAAGAAAAGCUUUCACUAGCUCAUUGUAUCUCAAAUACUCCAAUUUCUUCCAUGUCCUGAAAAUAACAUUUUUAUAGGUCAAAGACACAUGUAUGUGUGUAUGUACGUGUAUGUCUCUCCCCCGCUGUGUUUCGCUCAUUCCUGUGCAUACUCUACUUGUAUGUGAAUUCUAAAUUCUCCCUGGGUGACAGUAGACAAGGAAGACCAGAUAAAGUUAUUCCACUAUUUCUGGUAUCUUUCAGUGUCAAAGACAGUGUUUGUACAAUAGAAAAAUAGCUCAUUAAGAGGCCUAAAGAGCUGUUAAUUUAUCUGCAAAGAUCUGCUCUAGUAGCAGUUCUGGUGAACUGUCCCAUGUCCCAUACACACAGUUGUAUUACAAAGGCCCCAGCCAGUGCUAGAGCAGAGCCCUUCAGUUCUUUCCCUCUGUGCUAUUUGGGAUGAGGUACAGCUGCCUGGGAGGAAAGGAGGUACAGUGGCACAGCUGUAGAGUUAGAGGGUUUGUGUAUUGGAUGUGCCAGUGGGUGGUUGUAGAGGUGUAUCUGUGUUAUGUAUUUUCACCUCUGUGUAAAUGUGUUACUAAAUCCCUAGACACACAGAAAUCCCUCAGUGGUGAAGUGCUGAACCUAGCAGAGUACUCUGGAAAUGCAGAAAUGUAUUUGAGCCACACUCUUUACCUUCUCCAUACUGACCAUUGUUGGAGAUAGGUUACGUUCAAGGAUAGACUCCUGGCUAGAGUCUGUCUGUCCAUUCUUAUGCUUUCUUCUUCUACUUUGUUACAAUGUGUUUGGGAUUCUAAUUAUAUAGGGAUUUUUUUUGUCUUUUUUUUUUUUUUUUUUUCAGUCUUCUGAAGGAAAAUAGAUAGUGCCAAAGGGUUGUUGGGAGGAAGAUCCUUGUAUAAACCAGCAAGGUGGCUAUGAAUAUAAUAAACGCUUUAUUGCAUUUUUCUAUCUUAACUAAGUUGACAUGCUGGCCAGGAAAUAUCUACUGCCACUGCAGUUUCCAUUCUGACAUUCUGUGUGGAUAAUGAGCUGGAUUUAGAGAAAAAUAAAUCAUGUAGUAGAAGAGGUUCAGAUCCAUGCAAAGAAGCUGUAGAUGAAAUAAUGUGUCACCAUUCAAAGCCCAUGUUUACUAAUAAAAGACUUGUUUUUCCCUGAAGACAAGUUUAGUGAGAAAAGUAACAGACAAAAGUUCCUCUUGCAUCUGAAAAUAAAUAAGUAUUUUGUUCUGAGAACUCUGGAUUCUUCUCAUGACCCAGAGUUAAUCAGCAACAGAGAUUUCCUGGAGGAAGAGUUCAUUUCAAUUUCUACAUGCACGGGAGUGCAAGGUUUGACAAGGUUUGAGGGAGUGAUGUCAAGUCAACGCUCUAGUUUAGCAGUGAGUAAUCAGACACCAUCUGACAAUGUCCCAAAUCUAUAAAUUACACUGCAGUUGUUCCCUGCUAGCAUAAAGACAAACAAGUGUAAGUUAACCUCAGUGUUCCUACUGCUCAGGAUUGAGGGCAACAGAAGAGAAACAUGGAAGAGCUGCUGCUGCCAGCAAUCUGUACUGCCUCGGUGCACGCUGGGGGAAGAAGAGUCCACUUCUGCACCGAGGUGAUUACCAGAACCACCCCUCAGAAACAGGUCUCAGCCAAAAACUCAUCUGCAGAGUCUGGAAUUACUCCCUUAGCCACAAUGGUCCCAGACAUACAGAACAAGCAAAAGCAGAGGUUUGCCCAGCCAUUAGACUCUCUCAUACCAAAACCUCUGCUGGAACUUGAAAUCCCAUUGAUACCACCAUCAGUUUGGUUUGCUGCUUUACUGACUCACAUUCAUCAGACAGAAACAACAGAAAUUGCUUUCUUUUCAAGACCUCCUCAAACACAGUCCUUCCUCCUUAAUGUGCUAGGCCCUUGUUUCUCUGUUUCUUUCCAUUCAAGAAAGAUAAAAAUCCAGCCAAGGAAAAAGGAUGGGACAGAUAAUCGGGCUGCACCAAUACAUCUUCAUAUGAAGAAAGAAGAAAUAAAACUUCACAGUUUCUUCUAAGAAACUAGACCAUAGAAGCUGUUAUAUACUAUCCUGGAAUACUGGAUAGAUACCAAAUAAAAAUUGUCUCAACAAGUCUGCAUUUGCAGCAUGGAAAAAGAAGGAAGCUGCAUAAUUCAAUAUUUUACAGUUUACAAAAAUGUGAAAUGUUUUGACUCCAAAUCAAAUUCUUUGGCUUUUUGCCAUUUAUCAAGUAUUCUGCUGAUAUCACUUAAGACAAUUUAAUGACAACAAGAAUGUUUACAGAAAGAAGCGAUGCUGGCUUUCAUUCACUGGGAAAUCAACUUUGCUGUUGAAAAAUUAUGAAACUGUAUACAAAAGAUUUUUCAUUAAUAUAAAUAAUGUAUUAUACUUAGGCAAAUAUACUUUAGAUUAUCCAUUUAACAAUAAUAUGUUAUGUUGCAAAAUAAAUGAUAAUGUACCUUGAAAA